rnacentral:rRNA from 1 species
AUUGAACGCUGGCGGCAUGCCUUACACAUGCAAGUCGAACGGCAGCACGGGAGCAAUCCUGGUGGCGAGUGGCGAACGGGUGAGUAAUAUAUCGGAACGUGCCCAGUCGUGGGGAUAACGUAGCGAAAGCUACGCUAAUACCGCAUACGAUCUAUGGAUGAAAGCGGGGGAUCGCAAGACCUCGCGCGAUUGGAGCGGCCGAUAUCAGAUUAGGUAGUUGGUGAGGUAAAGGCUCACCAAGCCGACGAUCUGUAGCUGGUCUGAGAGGACGACCAGCCACACUGGGACUGAGACACGGCCCAGACUCCUACGGGAGGCAGCAGUGGGGAAUUUUGGACAAUGGGCGCAAGCCUGAUCCAGCAAUGCCGCGUGAGUGAUGAAGGCCUUC